GACGAACGCUGGCGGCGUGCUUAACACAUGCAAGUCGAACGGAAAGGCCCUGCUUUUGUGGGGUGCUCGAGUGGCGAACGGGUGAGUAACACGUGAGUAACCUGCCCUUGACUUUGGGAUAACUUCAGGAAACUGGGGCUAAUACCGGAUAGGAGCUCCUGCUGCAUGGUGGGGGUUGGAAAGUUUCGGCGGUUGGGGAUGGACUCGCGGCUUAUCAGCUUGUUGGUGGGGUAGUGGCUUACCAAGGCUUUGACGGGUAGCCGGCCUGGGAGGGUGGCCGGCCACAUUGGGACUAAGAUACGGCCCAGACGCCUACGGGAGGCAGCAGUGGGGAAUAUUGCACAAUGGGCGGAAGCCUGAUGCAGCAACGCCGCGUGCGGGAUGACGGCCUUCGGGUUGUAAACCGCUUUCGCCUGUGACGAAGCGUGAGUGACGGUAAUGGGUAAAGAAGCACCGGCUAACUACGUG
rnacentral:rRNA from 1 species